UUGUCGCUUUGGCCUUGAUGCGGAUCACCUUGCUUGGGGGGGGGAUACUGGCGGUACACGGGUGUUCAGCCAUACUCUCUUCAGGGGGGAGUACUGGUGAGACAUGCCUGAUUACGUCAGUCACUCCCAGCAACGCCCUUCAAACAAGGAAUAGGGUUCCGUCGCUAUAUGCCGGACCCCCGGAAAGGCUUCCACGGUGCGGAGCACGUGUCUACGUCAAAAGCCCAAGUUAACACUU
rnacentral:lncRNA from 1 species